rnacentral:rRNA from 1 species
AUACGGAGGAUGCGAGCGUUAUCCGGAUUUAUUGGGUUUAAAGGGAGCGUAGGUGGGAUAUUAAGUCAGCUGUGAAAGUUUGCGGCUCAACCGUAAAAUUGCAGUUGAUACUGGCUGUCUUGAGUACAGUAGAGGUGGGCGGAAUUCGUGGUGUAGCGGUGAAAUGCUUAGAUAUCACGAAGAACUCCGAUUGCGAAGGCAGCUCACUGGACUGCAACUGACACUGAUGCUCGAAAGUGUGGGUAUCAAACAGGAUUAGAUACCCUGGUAGUCCACACAGUAAACGAUGAAUACUCGCUGUUUGCGAUAUACAGUAAGCGGCCAAGCGAAAGCAUUAAGUAUUCCACCUGGGGAGUACGCCGGCAACGGUGAAACUUAAAGGAAUUGACGGGG